AUUGAACGCUGGCGGCAGGCCUAACACAUGCAAGUCGAGCGAGCGGCGGACGGGUGAGUAAUGUCUGGGAAACUGCCUGAUGGAGGGGGAUAACUACUGGAAACGGUAGCUAAUACCGCAUACCAUCAGAUGUGCCCAGAUGGGAUUAGCUAGUAGGUGGGGUAACGGCUCACCUAGGAGACGAUCCCUAGCUGGUCUGAGAGGAUGACCAGCCAAACUGGAACGGAGACACGGUCCAGCCUCCUACGGGAGGCAGCAGGGGGGAAUAUUGCACAAUGGGCGCAAGCCUGAUGCAGCCAGGCCGCGUGUGUGAAGAAGGCCUGCGGGUUGUAGAGCACUGUCAGCGGGGAGGCGUUACCCGCAGAAGAAGCACCGGCUAACUCCGUGCCAGCCGCCGCGGUAAUUC
rnacentral:rRNA from 1 species